rnacentral:tRNA from 1 species
CCUCGGUGUCGCUCAGGCCUGCGAGGGUCUGCACGAUCUUUUCAUGCUUGGCCAGGGCCGAGCGCACCUGGCGGAAGUUCCAGCCUUCGACCAGGGUC